UGACAGAAUGACAGAGGGCCAUCUAUGCCUGC
rnacentral:piRNA from 1 species